ensembl:lncRNA novel transcript
CAUAUGUUCAGGCUUUUUUCCCUCCUCCCCACAGCCUGGGCAUGGCAGGUGAAGGAGCCUCCUCCUCUACUUUCUCUGCUUCUCAAAUGUUCUAAGACUUGGGAGAAGCCCAAAGACCUCCAGGCUCUUCACUCAUUCAUUCAACAGAUACCUUCUGAGCAUCUGGUCUGCUUCAGGGGACCCCCAAUCUAAGACAGAUAUCCCCAAUUUCACAUGAAGAGACUGAGGCAGCUGGAGGCAAAGCAGCUUGUACAAGACCCCACAAGAAGAGGAGGAGUUGCUUUCUUGAACUGCUGUGGUUUUACCCACAGUCACCGGACCGUGCUGCCGCCCUGGUGGGAGGAUGUGUCUGCCUGCACAGGUUGAACAAUCUCAAGACACCUUGCUGGAAUUGGCAGAACAUUGAGCUCAUUCGGUCACUACCAGGGCUAUCAGGCACAGAGGAUGAGGCAGUCCUGCCCUGCCCUCUAGAACCGAAAGUCUGGACAGGGAGUGGCAGUUAAAUGUGGGGCAGAAUGAGAUCAAUGUCUCCAAGGGGUAACCCUGUCAUCCUCUCCCUUGGAUCUUCUCUGGGAGAGCUGCAGGACAUGAGCGAUCACUCUUUCUUUUCAGAUGGGUAAACUGAGGCUCAGAGAGGAGAUGGACUUGCCCCAGGCCACACGGCUUAUACCUGGCAGAACUGAGUCUGUCCCAGGGCUCUUUGAGCACCUGGGGAUGCAGAAGCUGGCGGGGUGGGAGGUGGCGGGGACUGUGGAAGGCUUCGUGGCUCUCAUGGGCACUCCAGCUCACUGUCUUUACUGCCACAGCCACUGCUUCUACAUUUGCUAUCUCAUUGGAUCAUGGCGCCUUGAACAAAAGUGUCCUUACUCAUUAUCUAAUUGAACUCCCAUUUUACAGGUGGGAAAAUUAAGACCCAGAGAAGGAACUUCCCAGAGAGCUAUCCAGUGAGCCAAGUCAGAGUUAGGAGCAGGAGCCUCAAAUUCCCAGGAAAGCAGCACGGUCCUCGAGUUCCCCCAAAAGCCAGACGGCAUCUUUGACACCUGACUCCCAGGGGCCAGUCCUGGAGAGGACACCUGGCCUGGAGCCAACCUUCCUCUCCUCGCUGCCAAAGCUCUGCUCUCUGGGUUCUGGCACUGUCUGAAAAUUCCUCCGUUGGUCUGCUCUCGGCAGAGCAUAGAUUAUCACUCUUGUGCUAAUUAUUUUUAUGAUUAAAAGAUGAUAAAUUAUUAAACAAA